UACGGAGGGUGCAAGCGUUGUCCGGAAUGACUGGGCGUAAAGGGCGCGUAGGCGGCUCAUGAAGGCUGUGGUGAAAGUCCGGGGCUCAACCUCGGAUCGGCCGUGGCGACUCGUGGGCUGGAGCACUGUAGAGGCGGGUGGAAUUCCGGGUGUAGCGGUGGAAUGCGUAGAGAUCCGGAAGAACACCAGUGGCGAAGGCGGCCCGCUGGGCAGUGGCUGACGCUGAGGCGCGACAGCGUGGGGAGCAAACAGG
rnacentral:rRNA from 1 species